AGCGUACACGGUGGAUGCCCUGGCAGUCAGAGGCGAUGAAGGACGUGCUAAUCUGCGAAAAGCGCCGGUAAGGUGAUAUGAACCGUUACAGCCGGCGAUGUCCGAAUGGGGAAACCCAGUGUGAUUCGUCACACUAUCUCAGCAUGAAUACAUAGUGCUGUGAGGCGAACCGGGGGAACUGAAACAUCUAAGUACCCCGAGGAAAAGAAAUCAACCGAGAUUCCCCCAGUAGCGGCGAGCGAACGGGGAACAGCCCAGAGCCUGAAUCAGCUUGUGUGUCAGUGGAACGGUCUGGAAAGGCCGGCGAUACAGGGUGACAGCCCCGUACACGAAGGCACACAGGCUGUGAGCUCGAUGAGUAGGGCGGGACACGUGAUAUCCUGUCUGAAGAUGGGGGGACCAUCCUCCAAGGCUAAAUACUCCUGACUGACCGAUAGUGAACCAGUACCGUGAGGGAAAGGCGAAAAGAACCCCGGCGAGGGGAGUGAAACAGAACCUGAAACCGUGUACGUACAAGCAGUGGGAGCCUUCGUAAGAGGGUGACUGCGUACCUUUUGUAUAAUGGGUCAGCGACUUAUAUUCUGUAGCAAGGUUAACCGUAUAGGGGAGCCGAAGGGAAACCGAGUCUUAAUUGGGCGUUAAGUUGCAGGGUAUAGACCCGAAACCCGGUGAUCUAGCCAUGGGCAGGUUGAAGGUUGGGUAACACUAACUGGAGGACCGAACCGACUAAUGUUGAAAAAUUAGCGGAUGACCUGUGGCUGGGGGUGAAAGGCCAAUCAAACCGGGAGAUAGCUGGUUCUCCCCGAAAGCUAUUUAGGUAGCGCCUCGUGAACUCAUCUUCGGGGGUAGAGCACUGUUUCGGCUAGGGGGCCAUCCCGGCUUACCAACCCGAUGCAAACUACGAAUACCGAAGAAUGUUAUCACGGGAGACACACGGCGGGUGCUAACGUCCGUCGUGAAGAGGGAAACAACCCAGACCGCCAGCUAAGGUCCCAAAGUCAUGGUUAAGUGGGAAACGAUGUGGGAAGGCACAGACAGCCAGGAUGUUGGCUUAGAAGCAGCCAUCAUUUAAAGAAAGCGUAAUAGCUCACUGGUCGAGUCGGCCUGCGCGGAAGAUGUAACGGGGCUAAACCAUGCACCGAAGCUGCGGCAGCGACACUAUGUGUUGUUGGGUAGGGGAGCGUUCUGUAAGCCUGUGAAGGUGUGCUGUGAGGCAUGCUGGAGGUAUCAGAAGUGCGAAUGCUGACAUAAGUAACGAUAAAGCGGGUGAAAAGCCCGCUCGCCGGAAGACCAAGGGUUCCUGUCCAACGUUAAUCGGGGCAGGGUGAGUCGACCCCUAAGGCGAGGCCGAAAGGCGUAGUCGAUGGGAAACAGGUUAAUAUUCCUGUACUUGGUGUUACUGCGAAGGGGGGACGGAGAAGGCUAUGUUGGCCGGGCGACGGUUGUCCCGGUUUAAGCGUGUAGGUGUGUGUUCCAGGUAAAUCCGGUUCACUUUAACACUGAGGCGUGAUGACGAGGCACUACGGUGCUGAAGUAACAAAUGCCCUGCUUCCAGGAAAAGCCUCUAAGCAUCAGGUAACAUCAAAUCGUACCCCAAACCGACACAGGUGGUCAGGUAGAGAAUACCAAGGCGCUUGAGAGAACUCGGGUGAAGGAACUAGGCAAAAUGGUGCCGUAACUUCGGGAGAAGGCACGCUGACAUGUAGGUGAAGCCCCUGCGGGUGGAGCUGAAGUCAGUCGAAGAUACCAGCUGGCUGCAACUGUUUAUUAAAAACACAGCACUGUGCAAACACGAAAGUGGACGUAUACGGUGUGACGCCUGCCCGGUGCCGGAAGGUUAAUUGAUGGGGUUAUCGCAAGAGAAGCUCCUGAUCGAAGCCCCGGUAAACGGCGGCCGUAACUAUAACGGUCCUAAGGUAGCGAAAUUCCUUGUCGGGUAAGUUCCGACCUGCACGAAUGGCGUAAUGAUGGCCAGGCUGUCUCCACCCGAGACUCAGUGAAAUUGAACUCGCUGUGAAGAUGCAGUGUACCCGCGGCAAGACGGAAAGACCCCGUGAACCUUUACUACAGCUUGACACUGAACAUUGAGCCUUGAUGUGUAGGAUAGGUGGGAGGCUUUGAAGCGUGGACGCCAGUCUGCGUGGAGCCAACCUUGAAAUACCACCCUUUAAUGUUUGAUGUUCUAACCUGGCGCCAUAAUCUGGCGUGGGGACAGUGUCUGGUGGGUAGUUUGACUGGGGCGGUCUCCUCCCAAAGUGUAACGGAGGAGCACGAAGGUCAGCUAAUCCUGGUCGGACAUCAGGAGGUUAGUGCAAUGGCAUAAGCUGGCUUGACUGCGAGAGUGACGGCUCGAGCAGGUGCGAAAGCAGGUCAUAGUGAUCCGGUGGUUCUGUAUGGAAGGGCCAUCGCUCAACGGAUAAAAGGUACUCCGGGGAUAACAGGCUGAUACCGCCCAAGAGUUCAUAUCGACGGCGGUGUUUGGCACCUCGAUGUCGGCUCAUCACAUCCUGGGGCUGAAGUAGGUCCCAAGGGUAUGGCUGUUCGCCAUUUAAAGUGGUACGCGAGCUGGGUUUAGAACGUCGUGAGACAGUUCGGUCCCUAUCUGCCGUGGGCGCUGGAGAAUUGAGGGGGGCUGCUCCCAGUACGAGAGGACCGGAGUGGACGCAUCACUGGUGUUCGGGUUGUCAUGCCAAUGGCACUGCCCGGUAGCUAAAUGCGGAAGAGAUAAGUGCUGAAAGCAUCUAAGCACGAAACUUGCCCCGAGAUGAGUUCU
rnacentral:rRNA from 1 species